rnacentral:rRNA from 1 species
CCUACGGGUGGCAGCAGUUAUUAAUAUUUUUCCCUUUUCUUUCUCCUUCCCCCGCCCCGCCGCGUGCGGGAUGAAGGUACAGAGUAUCGUAAACCUCUUUUGUCAGGGAACAAAGGCGGGGACGCGUCCCCGGAUGAGUGUACCUGAAGAAAAAGCAUCGGCUAACUCCGUGCCAGCAGCCGCGGUAAUACGGAGGAUGCGAGCGUUAUCCGGAUUUAUUGGGUUUAAAGGGUGCGCAGGCGGUCUGUUAAGUCAGCGGUCAAAGCCCGGGGCUCAACCCCGGCCCGCCGUUGAAACUGGCAGUCUCGAGUUGGAGAGAAGUAUGCGGAAUGCGCGGUGUAGCGGUGAAAUGCAUAGAUAUCGCGCAGAACUCCGAUUGCGAAGGCAGCAUGCCGGCUCCACACUGACGCUGAGGCACGAAAGCGUGGGUAUCGAACAGGAUUAGAUACCCGGGUAGUC